rnacentral:rRNA from 1 species
CGCCUGGGGAGUACGGCCGCAAGGCUAAAACUCAAAGGAAUUGACGGGGGCCCGCACAAGCGGCGGAGCAUGCUGAUUAAUUCGAUGCAACGCGAAGAACCUUACCAAGGCUUGACAUGCACUGGACGGCUGCAGAGAUGUGGCUUUCUUUGGACUGGUGCACAGGUGGUGCAUGGUUGUCGUCAGCUCGUGUCGUGAGAUGUUGGGUUAAGUCCCGCAACGAGCGCAACCCUCGUUCUAUGUUGCCAGCACGUAAUGGUGGGGACUCAUAGGAGACUGCCGGGGUCAACUCGGAGGAAGGUGGGGACGACGUCAAAUCAUCAUGCCCCUUAUGUCUUGGGCUUCAAGCAUGCUACAAUGGUCGGUACAAUGGGUUGCGAAACUGUGAGGUGGAGCGAAUCCCAAAAAGCCGGCCUCAGUUCGGAUUGGGGUCUGCAACUCGACCCCAUGAAGUCGGAGUCGCUAGUAAUCGCAGAUCAGCAAUGCUGCGGUGAAUACGUUCCCGGGCCUUGUACACACCGCCCGUCAAGUCACGAAAGUCGGUAACACCCGAAGCCAGUGGCCCAUCCUCGUGAGGGAGCUGUCGAAGGUGGGAUCGGUGAUUGGGACUAAGUCGUAACAAGGUAACCGUA